GACGAACGCUGGCGGCGUGCUUAACACAUGCAAGUCGAACGGAAAGGCCCUGCUUUUGUGGGGUGCUCGAGUGGCGAACGGGUGAGUAACACGUGAGUAACCUGCCCUUGACUUUGGGAUAACUUCAGGAAACUGGGGCUAAUACCGGAUAGGAGCUCCUGCUGCAUGGUGGGGGUUGGAAAGUUUCGGCGGUUGGGGAUGGACUCGCGGCUUAUCAGCUUGUUGGUGGGGUAGUGGCUUACCGAGGCUUUGACGGGUAGCCGGCCUGAGAGGGUGACCGGCCACAUUGGGACUGAGAUACGGCCCAGACUCCUACGGGAGGCAGCAGUGGGGAAUAUUGCACAAUGGGCGGAAGCCUGAUGCAGCAACGCCGCGUGCGGGAUGACGGCCUUCGGGUUGUAAACCGCUUUCGCCUGUGACGAAGCGUGAGUGACGGCAAUGGGUAAAGAAGCACCGGCUAACUACGUG
rnacentral:rRNA from 1 species